CAGUUCUUUUGUCCCCAUUGUCCCUACAAGGCCAAGCGAAACACUUCACUCAAAUCUCAUAUGGUUUUCAAACACCGAGAGUUUGCAAGGACCUCUUUUAAAAAUUGAUCACGAUAAUUAAUUGGUGACUCUCCAUUGCAGCAAGAUCAGCAAGCAAGCGCUGGUUACCGUUAUCACUGUGGCACAUGCGGUCGUCUCUACCGACACAAGUGCAAUCUGAACGUUCACCUUCGCUACGAGUGCGGCAAAGAUCCGCAGUUCGCUUGUAACCUAUGCGCUUACAAGGCUAAGCGAAAGUCGACUCUGAAAACUCAUAUGCUGCUCAUACACAACCGCCAUCCAAAGGAUUUGUAAUAACCUCACGAUGUAUGGCUGUAGUUUGAAAUAUAAUAUCGAGUACGUUUGGUUAUAAUUUACUGUGUACAACUUUUAAAAACUAAAUGAACUUUAUACGCAAUUUUAGUACCAUUAUAACAGAGUAUCAGACCGGUUUGGAUGCGUUUUUUGUUUGAAAUUACUAUGUAGGUUAAUUUCAUUAACGGGUGUGUGACGUCAUACUUAUUGACGGAGUUCACCUUGCAAAUAUAAAAGUAAUAUUACCACGUUCAACUUCUCAUUAUCUAUUUGAACUAUCUACUCUCCAAAAUCGAUUUUGAUAUUGUUUUUAAGUACACAAUAAGUCGUGAAAUAUAUAAAUGUACUAAAGUAUCGAUUAGGACAGGACUUGCAUUGUAUCGUUACGUUAUAUAGGUGUAAUAUUCGUCGCGCCUAUAAAGUGCCUUAAGUGUUGAUGUAGUUAAAAAUUCAA